rnacentral:lncRNA from 1 species
GUUGAUCGUAAAAAAAAAAAUAGUUCGAUGAUGCAUUUGUAAAUCGAGGUUGAGUAGAGUGGAUAAAAAUGUAUUUAACCCUAAAAUUUUAUGAGCCUAUGUCUGUCAGUAUUUAAUAAGUGAGUGACUGAUAUUAAAAUGGGACGUUUUUGUGUUUGCAAAAAGUGUAAUAAAUACAUGUAAUAAUAAACUAGAGGGAUAAAGACAUGAAGUAGUCAAGUAGAUCCAAUGCUCCAAAGAACCCAACUUAUCAACCAAGCCUUGUCAUCCCCAGGCCCAAAUAAAAGAACAGAUAAGGGUAAACAUAACAGUAUUAAGUUGGGCUUAUGUAAUAGAUUUUGUUGAAAAGUCAAUUACAACUUUUGUUGUAAUCUUUUCCAAAGGGAGCAACCACCCCAACCCAAUUUAACUAGGCCAUAAUAUCUCGUGUGUAUAUAGUCCACAUACAUAGGUCCAUGAUCCUAGUGAAGCUUUGUGUCAAAAUCCAACCCCAAUGAAACUUAUAAAAUGGUACAUUAGUAACUUAAAUUGAACGUGAUAUUUUUGCAAUUAUUAAAAAUGAGGUGCAACAAUUUUAAACAAUUAAAUCUCAAAAAAUAUUAUUGCAUAUAAUAUUUGAGUAUUAUUUAAUUUUGUGAUUCAUUUUAUUAAAUUUUUAUUUUUAAGAGUUUUUUUUUCUCGAAUUUGACCCCACAGAACUUCGGGGUUGGAUCCGCCCCUAUAUAUAUAUAUAUAUAUAUAUAUAUAUAGCUGUGUAGUACACAGUCGCCUAUGACGACAAUUUUUCUGGACAAUAGCGACAGUUCACCGUCGCCAUAGACCAGAAUAGCUAUAGCGACGGGUGAAUCUGGACAAUAGCGACAGUUCACCGUCGCCAUAGACCAGAAUAGCUAUAGCGACGGGUGAAUCUGUCGCUAUAGUUCAAAAAACAUCGCAAUUAAGAAAUUAAUGAUUAUGACAAAUUUAAAUAGGAAACUGA